rnacentral:tRNA from 1 species
GCCCAUAUAGCUCAGACGGCAGAGCACUUCCUUGGUAAGGAAGAGGUCACCAGUUCAAGUCUGGUUAUGGGCUCCA